GCCACAUGAUGUCUCUUAGAUAGCACUAGCACUAUGUGCAAAGAUGACUUUUAUCUACUACCCUAAAACUGAUGGCU